UGGCUCAAGGGCUCAUACCUGGGCUGGGGGAGAGAUGUCCAGGAGCAGCCACCUCACCUCCUAUUGCCCUUUGAAAGUUCCAGCCUGUGCUGUUAUCUGUGCUGAUGACUGCAGCCCAUAAACCUCUGUGCAGAAUGGAAUUAGCAGGAACACUCACCACCUCUCACAUUUUUUUUUUUAAUCAAGGAGGGAAGAACAUGUAAAGGAUGCCAAGCUCAUGCCAUGCCAAGCUGAUACAGAGCCAAUGAUCUUACUGACUGCCUUCCCCAGCAGCAACCCAAGGCUGAUGUGAAGACUCCUUAGAGGGGUGCAGAGGGGCUGAGCUGCUCCAAAUUAAGCGAGCCAUGCUGCUGCUGCAGGUAAUUCACAGCAAGCUGCAGAAACUGGAGUGCUUGUCUUCCCAGUCAACAUAUGCUCAACAUAUGCCAAGUGAUCCCUUCAGUCCCUGAAUGGUUGAGGAGGGCUCAAAGGGGCUUGAAAAUGAAAACUGCCACCAUUGCAUCAGAGUAACAAUUCAUCAGACCUUCCUUGGCAAGCUGCUCUCCUGUCCCCUGGCUGAGACAAAGGUCACAGAUGCCUCAUUUUGCUGCAUGGCCCCCUUGAGCCUUGGGUAAUGCAUGUGGACUAGAAAAGCUGAGAUUGUGUCAAAGCCAAGGAGGCUGGUAAUCAUCCAAAUUCCAAAAUUAUUAGAGUAAUAAAAGGAUUAAUGAAGUUUUGAAAAUCAUAAGGCUGAUCUAUUCUGCGAAUUGCUCUUAAAGCUUCCUUAAUGCCCUUUCUAUUCUCUCUCUCCCAGUUUCUUUUCUCACUUUUGUGGUUAAGGAGCAAUUUGCUUCUAAACCAAAGUUUUAUCAUUGUUUUUUGACAGAAGAAAACUGCUGGUAUGAUGCACACAUUUCAGCAGUGGAUGAUUUUGAUUCACUAGAGCUUGGAGGAGCAAUGAUGACAGAUGUUAGCUCCUGCAAUGGGGACGCUGCAGAAAGCUGUUUCUCAGAUAGCUGUCAGAACUGCACACUUGCUAACCAAGUCGCAGCAAAAGUGCUAAACUUCUCACUCCUGAAGUGUGUCAGGUUUGGUGCUAGACUUUUAAUUGAAUCACCAACUGACAUUUUUUGCAUUCUUUCAGGCCUUUAUAGUCCUUGUCACAGCAAGAUAAAAGGAUUUUGUGGAUUGUUUCUGAAAGCGAAAAUAGGUGGGGAACAUUUUUGUUGUGUACUGCCAUGGCCAUCAGUAAGGUUGGGCAUCCCUGAUUCUCACUAUUAGGCUGCAUAUGGAGCUGAAAGCUGUUUCUGUGAUGUUCAGCAUGCAUAUCUAAAAUAGUAUUGCAUCAAAUUAUUUACAGAUAUUUAUUGUUUUUAAAUAUGUUUCAGAUCUGUUUGCUUUGGAGGUAGGUAUUCCUCAGUGCUGUCAGCAGUUAGCCCACAGUCUCAGAUGGGCUGAGCACUAAUAGGCAUCACACUCUUACCCAGUUAUUUAAAUUCUUAAUGUAUGUGCCACCAAAAUAUACCACUUUUUAUCAAUGUAUGGAGCCACAACUCUAUUUUUUUGCCAGUAUUGCUGCAGUAUUGGCCAUCUGAGUCUUCCACUUUGCCUUGUGCUGUCCUACUUCUUGCCUCCAGGGCUCAGAUCCCAGCAGUUUCUGCUCCAGCAGAGGAAACCAAUGAAUUUCCAAAGGAAGUGCCAGGGAGAGGCCUUACUCCUCUUGGAGUAAGGCGGCUGAAGUAGAUCCAAGUUCCUUCCAAGGGACUUUGUUACCAUCUCCACCACUGUGGGAUGAAGCUCCCCAGAGACAGCACUCAGCCCCCCAUUGUACCAAGAGCUUUGGGAAGCAAGAACAAGCAGUGGCUGGUGGGAAAGCUACUGUCCACCCUGCCCUGAACACCACCAGUGCCAUCCUUCCCAGAAAGCCACAGCUCAGUGGCAUCACAGUGCAUGAUGAGGCAUCAUAUAUGGUGAUACCUCAACACGCAACAGCAGAUCCUCUGCACAGCUGGGGUUCUCCAGGCUUGCUUUGGAUCAAGUGUAGGCACAUAAUCAUAUUUCUGUCAAAUUAGCUAGGGCAUAGGAUGAUGAAGUUUGUGCCAGCUUUAUGCUUUUAUGCUGGCUUUUUGCUGGCUCUGGGAGGAGAGACGUUAUCUGACCUGGCAGAAGGUGUGAGCAGUAGAGGCAGUGAUACCUCAUCUGGCAUAAAACCUGUCAGUAUUAAAUUAAGUCAUCAUUUUUCUUUAUUUGAAUUGGCAGUGUGAGUUCACUCUGGAUCAGCACUUUCAUCAUGUGUCUGGCAGCAUUUCUGACGGAGUAUUAACAACCCUAAAGCAGGAUUUACUGAGUUGUGUGAUCACAAACUUAUUGUUUGAGCUUACUCUGAUAAAAAGGCAGGGAGCUACUGGGUGGUGGUGUUUAUUAGGUUUCAGAAUGCUCCUACCCAGAGCAGUUUUCUAGUUAGGAACAAUUUCCUCCCCCAUAAAAAAAAAAAAAAAACACCCUUCAAGUUCCCAUCUAACCAGAAAACCCCACCCGAGCACAGAAAACCCAUGGAUUAAAGGUUCAUAUGUAACUUUUGACACACUCCCCCAAACCAAACCUUUUGUGUAAACGGGAAAAAGAAUCCUUUUGUAGUGCAGAAAGUCAACAUGGCAUAAAUCACUAUUUUGUUUGUUCUGUUGCUUGACAUGCUGAACAAGAAACCACCACCAGACCUGUGAAAUUCUUCCAUUAAUCCUACUGGAGCAGUUACAUCCAAGUAUUCUUGGGACCAUGAAAAAACACUUAAAUGUACUCCACUGGCUGAAAUAUAACACUUCACUAGCUAAAAUAAAGGAUGGUGUUAGGCACUAGCUCCUAAUAUUUGAAUUACUUCAUGCAGCUUUUACUUUUCCCUACCUCAUUUUCAAAACAUGGUUUGAAAAUAGAGUGGCCUAAAAACAUAAUAUAGCUUCCAAAGAACAGAAGGCAUUGGCUAAAAGUUUAGUCUUUCAAUACUUCUGUUUGCUAAUGAAUCCUUGGAGUAAACAAACACUCUUUUACCCCCAGUUUCUGCUAAGGCACUUGCCUUUUGUUUCAGACCCAGUACAUGGGCUGAAUGAGGUAAUGCCUACAUCUCCUAGGCCAGGAAUGUAUUCAGGGUAGGAGGAUAAUACCUGAUCUUUGGUAAACACGGGGUGAAUUUCAGCUCCGCUUCCAGAUUCCUGUGCUUGGAGGAAAGAAUUAGGACUGCUUGUCUGAACACACCAAAAAAAAAAUCACUUCAUCAGUUUAGCAACUGAUUCAAAGCCUCAGAUAGGUGCCCUCAGAUGUGUUUAAAAUCUGUUGUGUAUACAUACAUAAACCUUUUAAACGAGGAGUGUCUUGUAGCAAAAUUGCAUCAAUAUAAGUGAGACAGUUAAAACACCACUCUGUCCUCAGUAUAAAUAUUGCUUUCAGAUUCAUUCAGUCAGAAGCAGAUGCUGAGGUAAGUUUCUUGAGGUAGAGGCUGAAAGGGCCCUGGUUCCUACAGAGCUAUAGAGACCCUCUGAAAAAUAAAACAGAACCCCUCCGGCACAGUGAUUAUGAAAAUGCAUAUCUGCUCUACCAGAGACCGCUCCUCCUGCUUGCCUCAUGCAAUGUUAGAAUAUUUACAUUUUCUCAGAAUCAUUUUCUUUAGACAUGAAAGUCAGACAAGUAUAGCCUUUGCAAGUAUAUUAAAUAGUAUUUAUUGAGUCUGCAAUUUCAGGGGCAAAGCUAUAAUCUCAGUCCCAGCUAUCCACACACCAUGGUACUGAGCCCUCAUGUUCUUUCACUCAUUCAAUAAAUGAACAAUAACAUAGAAAAUCAUAUAGAGAAGGGGUUGAAGGAAAAAACCCUAUUCUCUCAGUUUUGAAAACAGACUUAAGUCUUGUUCUCAUUUACAAACACACUGCCUUUUGAAUAAGCAUGGUAUGUUUCUAUUGAAGAACAGACUUGUCCUCCUGUGGUUGGGAGAUGGUACAUGAAUGGUUGACAUGAAAGAAAGAACUACAGACAGCACUGAGAGCUUUUCCAUAGGUGGGUGGUUAAUGCUCCUUCAGACUGCAAUGAAUUACUUACAAGAGGGAGGGAUGUUCCCAAAUCUCCAAUUGGAAAGAGCCCCUCUUCUUAGGAGGCUUUUAUGUCUGAGACUGGUACUGUGGGUGCAUAUGUACAACAAGAGACUGCCUGCAAAAUCUUAUGGCAGAGGUUGUUUGAACAUGUCAUCUCUUCCUGGCAUUUUAUUUUUACCAUGGUGACCCUUCUGCAUAGUAAAAAAAAAA